rnacentral:rRNA from 1 species
UACAGAGGUCUCAAGCGUUGUUCGGAUUCAUUGGGCGUAAAGGGUGCGUAGGCGGCGGGGUAAGUCUGAUGUGAAAUCCCGGGGCUCAACUCCGGAACUGCAUUGGAUACUGCCUUGCUUGAGUACUGGAGAGGAGACUGGAAUUUACGGUGUAGCAGUGAAAUGCGUAGAGAUCGUAAGGAAGACCAGUGGCGAAGGCGAGUCUCUGGACAGUUACUGACGCUGAGGCACGAAGGCCGGGGGAGCAAACGGG